AACGAACGCUGGCGGCAUGCCUAGCACAUGCAAGUCGAACGAGACCUUCGGGUCUAGUGGCGCACGGGUGCGUAACGCGUGGGAACCUGCCCUUAGGUUCGGAAUAACUCCCCGAAAGGGGUGCUAAUACCGGAUAAUGUCUUCGGACCAAAGAUUUAUCGCCUUUGGAUGGGCCCGCGUUGGAUUAGCUAGUUGGUAGGGUAAAAGCCUACCAAGGCGACGAUCCAUAGCUGGUCUGAGAGGAUGAUCAGCCACACUGGGACUGAGACACGGCCCAGACUCCUACGGGAGGGAGCAGUGGGGAAUAUUGGACAAUGGGCGAAAGCCUGAUCCAGCAAUGCCGCGUGAGUGAUGAAGGCCUUAGGGUUGUAAAGCUCUUUUACCCGGGAUGAUAAUGACAGUACCGGGAGAAUAAGCUCCGGCUAACUCCGUG
rnacentral:rRNA from 1 species